rnacentral:rRNA from 1 species
GGACUACUGGGGUUUCUAAUCCUGUUUGCUCCCCACGCUUUCGCGUCUCAGCGUCAGCAACGAGCCAGAGGGCCGCCUUCGCCGCCGGUGUUCCUCCUGAUAUCUACGCAUUUCACCGCUACACCAGGAAUUCCACCCUCCUCUCUCGCGCUCCAGCCGGCUAGUUUCCAGUGCACUUCCGGGGCUAAGCCCCGGGCUUUCACACCAGACUUGACCGACCGCCUACACGCCCUUUACGCCCAGUCAAUCCGAACAACGCUAGCACCCUCCGUCUUACCGCGGCUGCUGGCAC